rnacentral:ncRNA from 1 species
CAAAGGCAACUGUUUAGUUGAACUUUUAUAUCUUAUGGGUUGUUAGAGGAGUGAGAGUCAAAAUUAAAGUUUUAUUGUGGCUUUUAAAUUUGGUUUUUGAUAAUUUUACAUGUAAAUUUUAUUUUAGAAGGGGAAUAUUAAGCAGUAAAUAAAUUUAAUGAUUAAGGAAGCUUAGAAUUAGAUAUUUAUAUAAGUAUAGACAAAUCUUGUGCCAGCAGUUGCGGUUAAACAUGAUAUACUUCUUAAUUUGGCUUGGGUGAUAAUUAUCUUUUAGUAGGAAAUGAAAAUUGAUUAUAUAAGGUGAAAUUUUAUAGUUAAUUUUAUUUAUUUUUUUAUGAAAUAUUAUUAGAUUUUUGGUAUAGACUAGGAUUAGAUACCCUAUUAUUGGAAGUGUAAAUUGAACUCCUGAGGAGUAUUAGUUGUUCUUGAAAUUUAAAAAAUUUGGCGGUGUUUUAGUCUAUUCAGAGGAACCUGUCCUGUAAUUGAUAAUCCACGAUUAAUUAGACUUGUUCUUUAAGUUUGUAUAUCGUCGUUAUUUGAAUAUCUUUAAAAAGAUAAAUAUUCAGUAUUUAUAAUUUUAAUUUAAAUCAGAUCAAGGUGCAGUUUACGGAUAAGGGGAGAUGGGUUACAAUAAAAGAAUUUUUGGUUUGAGAGGUGAAAUUCUUACAAUAAAUUGGAUUUGAUAGUAAAAAUGAUUAUUUUAUUAAUUUGAUUAAGGCUCUAAAAUAUGUACAUAUCGCCCGUCGCUCCUACCACAAGGUAGGAUAAGUCGUAACAAAGUAGGUGUACCGGAAGGUGUACCUGGAAAG